rnacentral:rRNA from 1 species
AUUGAACGCUGGCGGCGUGCUUAACACAUGCAAGUCGAUCGGUAACGCGGGGGCAACCCUGGCGACGAGAGGCGGACGGGUGAGGAACGCUUGGGAAUCUGCCUAUCAGCGGGAGACAACCCGGGGAAACUCGGGCUAAUACCGCAUACGCUCUACGGAGGAAAGCCGGGGACCGCAAGGCCUGGCACUGAUAGAUGAGCCCAAGUCGGAUUAGCUAGUUGGCGGGGUAACGGCCCACCAAGGCGACGAUCCGUAGCUGGUCUGAGAGGACGAUCAGCCACACUGGGACUGAGACACGGCCCAGACUCCUACGGGAGGCAGCAGUGGGGAAUAUUGGACAGUGGGGGAAACCCUGAUCCAGCGACGCCGCGUGGGUGAAGAAGGCCUGCGGGUUGUAAAGCCCUUUCGGUAGGGACGAAAGCUCUCGACCUAACACGUCGGGAGGUUGACUUAACCUACAAAAGAAGCACCGGCUAACUCUGUGCCAGCCGCCGCAGUAACAC